AAUCUUGCGCAAUGGGCGAAAGCCUGACGCAGCCAUGCCGCGUGAAUGAUGAAGGUCUUAGGAUUGUAAAAUUCUUUCACCGGGGAAGAUAAUGACGGUACCCGGAGAAGAAGCCCCGGCUAACUUCGUGCCAGCAGCCGCGGUAAUACGAAGGGGGCUAGCGUUGCUCGGAAUUACUGGGCGUAAAGGGCGCGUAGGCGGACAGUUUAGUCAGAGGUGAAAGCCCAGGGCUCAACCUUGGAAUUGCCUUUAAGACUGCAUCGCUCGAAUCAUGGAGAGGUGAGUGGAAUUCCGAGUGUAGAGGUGAAAUUCGUAGAUAUUCGGAAGAACACCAGUGGCGAAGGCGACUCACUGGACAUGUAUUGACGCUGAGGUGCGAAAGCGUGGGGAGCAAAC
rnacentral:rRNA from 1 species